CUCUGCUGCUGUCCGCUGGUGGAGUCGAGCUGCUGCUCUGCUGCCGGCUGCUGGUGAAGGCGAGCUGGUGCCCGCACACGCCCAGGGGAGCUGCUGCCACUGAAGCACUCACCGCACACAGGAGCUGCUGCCGCUGAAGUACUCGCCGCUGCACAGGAGCUGCUGGCCUAGGUUCAUCUCCUCGCCCAGUACCCGCUCUGCAUCAAUUUGAUGAUCAUAAGCAAUCAGAUGAUCAUAAACUAAGACUUGCUCAUAUGAGUAAACAAUUUGAUGAUCAUAAACAAGAGUAAUUCAAAGAAAUAUUUGUUGCCAAUAAUUCAAGACAAGAGUAAUUCAAGAGAUAAUUGCUGCCAAUGAUUCGAGUGAAUACUCCAUCAGAAUUUGUUCAAAUUAUUGGGAUGACGACGGAUAGAUGACAUGUAAUUAACCUGGGGAGAAAAGGCCACCAAUAACCAUGAGUUCAUGUAUUGGUUUUGAUCUCAGGAAGCAAGGUUUUGAUUUCUUACAACAUGCCACUACUCUAGGAGAAAAUUUUGGUAUCUCAUGAAGAAAUUAUGAGGUUUACUCUGCUAAUAGCCCUGAUCUGAAUGGCCUUGACCUUGGGUUCUUCAACUCGUUGCAAUCUCUAACAGAUUGUCUAAGCCCUAGAACGCUUCAAGAUCUUAUCAAGGGUGUGCUAGAUGAAUUUGAAAACUAUGAGGUUUACAAGCUGAACAGAGUUUUCCUAUCUCCACAAGCUUGCAUGGUUGAAAUCUUGAACCAUGCAGGGGGCAAUGGGUAUAAAAUACCCCAUGCGAACAAGGAAAGGCUAGAGAACCUUGGGAUGCUACCUCCAAGACUUACAUGCCCUCCAGAGGUAUAUGCAAAUGCCCUGCACAAUCUUGGGAUAAUGGAGAGAGUUGCUUGUUGAGAUGCUUGUCGAGAUGCUUGAGGAGUUGCUUGUUGAGAUGCUUGUCGAGAUGCUUGUUGAGAUGCUUGAGGAGUUGCUUGUUGAGAUGCUUGAGGAGUUGCUUGUCGAGAUGCUUGUCGAGAUGCUUGAGGAGUUGCUUGUUGAGUUGCUUGUCGAGAUGCUAGUUGAGAUGCUUGAGGAGUUGCUUGUUNNNNNNNNNNUACUCCCUCUGUACCGAAAUGUAGGUCGCUGGGGCAAAUGUUCCGACCAGGUGAAAAUGGGCAAAUGGACAUUUAUACCCUUAGUUUAAAUUUUGAAUCAGGUCGCUGGAUCGUCUUCCACCUCCGCCACCGCCCCUGCCCUCCACCUCCGCCUCCGGCCCCGCCCUCCACCUCCGCCUCCGCCCCCGCCUCCGUCCCCGCCCUCCACCUCCGCCUCGGCCCCCGCCUCCACCUCCACCCACGCCGUCCUGGGGCUCCUCCUGGACCGCGCGCGCCCAGGUGAUGCUCUGCUGCCGCCUGCUCGUGGAGGCGAGCUGGUGCUGUGCUGCUGUCCGCUGGUGGAGUCGAGCUGCUGCUCUGCUGCCGGCUGCUGGUGAAGGCGAGCUGGUGCCCGCACGCGCCCAGGGGAGCUGCUGCCGCUGAAGCACUCACCGCACACAGGAGCUGCUGCCGCUGAAGUACUCGCCGCUGCACAGGAGCUGCUGGCCUAGGUUCAUCUCCUCGCCCAGUACCCGCUCUGCAUCAAUUUGAUGAUCAUAAGCAAUCAGAUGAUCAUAAACUAAGACUUGCUCAUAUGAGUAAACAAUUUGAUGAUCAUAAACAAGAGUAAUUCAAAGAAAUAUUUGUUGCCAAUAAUUCAAGACAAGAGUAAUUCAAGAGAUAAUUGCUGCCAAUGAUUCGAGUGAAUACUCCAUCAGAAUUUGUUCAAAUUAUUGAGAUGACGACGGAUAGACGACAUGUAAUUAACCUGGGGAGAAAAGGCCACCAAUAACCAUGAGUUCAUGUAUUGGUUUUGAUCUCAGGAAGCAAGGUUUUGAUUUCUUACAACAUGCCACUACUCUAGGAGAAAAUUUUGGUAUCUCAUGAAGAAAUUAUGAGGUUUACUCUGCCAAUAGCCCUGAUCUGAAUGGCCUUGACCUUGGGUUCUUCAACUCGUUGCAAUCUCUAACAGAUUGUCUAAGCCCUAGAACGCUUCAAGAUCUUAUCAAGGGUGUGCUAGAUGAAUUUGAAAACUAUGAGGUUUACAAGCUGAACAGAGUUUUCCUAUCUCCACAAGCUUGCAUGGUUGAAAUCUUGAACCAUGCAGGGGGCAAUGGGUAUAAAAUACCCCAUGCGAACAAGGAAAGGCUAGAGAACCUUGGGAUGCUACCUCCAAGACUUACAUGCCCUCCAGAGGUAUAUGCAAAUACCCUGCACAAUCUUGGGAUAAUGGAGAGAGUUGCUUGUUGAGAUGCUUGUCGAGAUGCUUGAGGAGUUGCUUGUUGAGAUGCUUGUCGAGAUGCUUGUUGAGAUGCUUGAGGAGUUGCUUGUUGAGAUGCUUGAGGAGUUGCUUGUUGAGAUGCUUGAGGAGUUGCUUGUUGAGUUGCUUGUCGAGAUGCUAGUUGAGAUGCUUGAGGAGUUGCUUGUUGAGAUGCCUAUCGAGAUGCUUGUUGAGAUGCUUGAGGAGUUGCUUGUUGAGAUGCUUGUCGAGUUGCUUGUUAAGAUGCUUGUGAUUAUUUGUGUGGAGUAUGUGUAACUCCUUGUUUGUGUGGAGUAUGCGUAACCCUAGAGAUGUGGCUUGUGUGGAGUAUAUGUAACUCCUUGAGAAGAGACUUGUGUGGAGUGCAUCAUUUGUAUGAUCAUUUUCGGAAACCCCAUGUGAAAUUACUCCAUAUGUUUGCAAAAGGCUUCUAUGGACUGGAUUUUACUCCAUACAUAUGAUCAUUUUUGUUUGAAAAGUUUCAUUUAAUUU
rnacentral:lncRNA from 1 species